UGCAGACCAAAGAGCUGGAGAAAGGCUGUGAGCAGCGUGGAGAUGCGGAUCCAUCUCCCCUGAUGCAAGAAGUGUAACCUGCCCGCUGAGAGUCUCACCUGGAGAGGAAUUUGCCAGUCAUGGGAUGGGGCCAUCUUGGAAGUGGAUCCUUCAGCCUUAGUCCAGCUGACAUCUAGUGGAGCAGAGAUGAAUUGUCCCCACCGGGCUCUGGCCAAAUGACAGAUUGGAGCUGACUGGCCGAUAAAAUGUGGAAGAAGUGAUGUCUAGCUUACGCUGAUACUUAACAGGCCUUAGGAGCAUCUAGUUCCAUCUUGGUAUCCUGCCUGCGGGAAGAUAAGAGACUUCUGCGCAGCUGCUCUUUGCCCCAGUCAACAGGCCAGUAACCACCCUGCCUCUAGAAAUGUGAAACCUUCCUGGACCAGUCCACCUCCCAGUGACCAACUGCAGAUGCGUGAGCAAGCUAGUUAGGACCCUCCAAGCCUGGCGCAGCGCGCAGCAUCUUGGGUGUUUCUCUUACCUGAGUCACCGUGGCCCCAACCACGAGUGGAGUAGAGGAGAGGAAGCACACCCCCCAGCAGGCCUUCGUCACAGACUGAGAACUUCAGUGCUAAACUCCAACCAUGGUGUGCGUCUGCUGGGGAGUGACGCGAGGGUACGUGGAAGGGUAAAUGAUGAGAUAAGGAAAAGAAGAUUUUGGGAUGCCAAACUGAAGUAAUAACUUUAAAUAACUAUUAGUACAGGAAUGCAUUUGAAAACAGGAUAUACAGACAAUGAAAUGCAAUAUAGCACUGAAAAUAGUAAACAAAAACGACAUGUAUGAGAGAAAAUCUCACAGACACAGUAUCGAGUGAAAAAUCAACUUGGGUAGCACAGUGAAGCAUUUUUCUGUCAGGCAUCUAAUUUUUUUUUUUUUAAGCCUGUGGUCCUAUAAUUGGACAUUGAUAAGCUGCAUGGGAAA